rnacentral:rRNA from 1 species
GAUGAACGCUAGCGGCAGGCUUAACACAUGCAAGUCGAGGGGCAGCGAGGGUAGCAAUACCUGUCGGCGACCGGCGGAAGGGUGCGUAACGCGUAUGCAACCUGCCCAUUCCCGGGGGAUAGCCCGCCGAAAGGCGGAUUAAUACCCCAUGGACCCUUAGCCCCGCAUGGGGCGGAGGGUAAAGCUCCGGCGGGAAUGGAUGGGCAUGCGUGCCAUUAGCUGGUUGGUGGGGUAACGGCCCACCAAGGCUACGAUGGCUAGGGGGUCUGGGAGGAUGAUCCCCCACACUGGUACUGAGACACGGACCAGACUCCUACGGGAGGCAGGCAGUGAGGAAUAUUGGUCAAUGGGCGGAAGCCUGAACCAGCCAUGCCGCGUGCAGG